rnacentral:rRNA from 1 species
UGGUGGGUAGUUUGACUGGGGCGGUCUCCUCCCAAAGAGUAACGGAGGAGCACGAAGGUUAGCUAAUCCUGGUCGGACAUCAGGAGGUUAGUGCAAUGGCAUAAGCUAGCUUGACUGCGAGAGUGACGGCUCGAGCAGGUGCGAAAGCAGGUCAUAGUGAUCCGGUGGUUCUGAAUGGAAGGGCCAUCGCUCAACGGAUAAAAGGUACUCCGGGGAUAACAGGCUGAUACCGCCCAAGAGUUCAUAUCGACGGCGGUGUUUGGCACCUCGAUGUCGGCUCAUCACAUCCUGGGGCUGAAGUAGGUCCCAAGGGUAUGGCUGUUCGCCAUUUAAAGUGGUACGCGAGCUGGGUUUAGAACGUCGUGAGACAGUUCGGUCCCUAUCUGCCGUGGGCGCUGGAGAAUUGAGGGGGGCUGCUCCUAGUACGAGAGGACCGGAGUGGACGCAUCACUGGUGUUCGGGUUGUCAUGCCAAUGGCACUGCCCGGUAGCUAAAUGCGGAAGAGAUAAGUGCUGAAAGCAUCUAAGCACGAAACUUGCCCCGAGAUGAGUUCUCCCUGAGACUUUAAGUCUCCUGAAGGAACGUUGAAGACUACGACGUUGAUAGGUCGGGUGUGUAAGCGCAGCGAUGCGUUGAGCUAACCGAUACUAAUGAACCGUGAGGCUUAACCUU